rnacentral:rRNA from 1 species
AUUGAACGCUGGCGGCAGGCCUAACACAUGCAAGUCGAGCGAGCGGCGGACGGGUGAGUAAUGUCUGGGAAACUGCCUGAUGGAGGGGGAUAACUACUGGAAACGGUAGCUAAUACCCCAUACCAUCAGAUGUGCCCAGAUGGGGUUAGUUGUUAGGUGGGGUAACGGGUCACCUAGGCGACGAUCCCUAGCUGGUCUGAGAGGAUGACCAGCCACACUGGAACUGAGACACGGUCCAGACUCCUACGGGAGGCAGCAGUGGGGAAUAUUGCACAAUGGGCGCAAGCCUGAUGCAGCCAUGCCGCGUGUUUGAAGAAGGCCUUCGGGUUGUAAAGCACUUUCAGCGGGGAGGCGUUACCCGCAGAAGAAGCACCGGCUAACUCCGUGCCAGCAGCCGCGGUAAUAC